rnacentral:misc_RNA from 1 species
AACUGAUGGCUCUCGCAUUUCAGACAUCGCCAGUUACGGUGGAUAUUUCCAUGCCGAUUGGAAGUUUAUAAUAUAAUGGCAACUGUCAACGGUUAGGUUCACAGCCACUGGUAGUCACUGCACUUCAAAAAGCAGAUGGUAUCCUUUAUUAAGGUUAAAAUUUGGGUCUCUUUAGUAUUGAUAUUAUUAAUUUUUUUUUACCCAA